rnacentral:rRNA from 1 species
UCCUACGGGGAGGCAGCAGUGGGGAAUAUUGCACAAUGGGCGCAAGCCUGAUGCAGCCAUGCCGCGUGUGUGAAGAAGGCCUUCGGGUUGUAAAGCACUUUCAGUCGUGAGGAAGGUAGUUGCGUUAAUAGCGUAAUUAUUUGACGUUAGCGACAGAAGAAGCACCGGCUAACUCCGUGCCAGCAGCCGCGGUAAUACGGAGGGUGCGAGCGUUAAUCGGAAUUACUGGGCGUAAAGCGCAUGCAGGUGGUUUGUUAAGUCAGAUGUGAAAGCCCGGGGCUCAACCUCGGAAUUGCAUUUGAAACUGGCAGACUAGAGUACUGUAGAGGGGGGUAGAAUUUCAGGUGUAGCGGUGAAAUGCGUAGAGAUCUGAAGGAAUACCGGUGGCGAAGGCGGCCCCCUGGACAGAUACUGACACUCAGAUGCGAAAGCGUGGGGAGCAAACAGGAUUAGAUACCCUGGUAGUCCACGCCGUAAACGAUGUCUACUUGGAGGUUGUGGCCUUGAGCCGUGGC